rnacentral:lncRNA from 1 species
GUAAUUAAGAAGAUAAAAUAAGUGAUAAAAAUUGUUAUGGCAAACUUUGAGCUAUAAUGACUUGGCUUUGAGUUGGUAGGAAAAAGUUCCUUCCUGGGUCAAAAAUUUGCUGAAAUUGUUUCUUGGAAGAAAGGUCUGUUAAUCCUAAUAUGUCUAAUAAUUGCUAGCUCUGUGUGCUUGUGGGUGUUCAUAUUUCAUGGUUGUAUUCUUGUAAUCCACAACUAGCCUUUCACUGUUCCAUGUAACACACAUUUCCAUUCACACCCAGCUUAGCUCAGAGCUACUUCAACUUGAGUUAACUGCUUGGACAUGUGGCUGGCAUUCUGGUUCAUGAGUUGCAAAGGCGCUCACUUCCAUGCUGCUGAUCUGGCUUUGUUAAAUGACUCUGUCUUGUCAGUCAGUGUGUGGUUACCAUGGUCUCCUCUCUGGAAGUGCAAAGGCUGAGUUUCAAGUUUAGUGGGAAAUGUAAACAAGGGCUCUGGAAGGAGUGUUUUUUUUGGAAGUGAGAUGACAAGAUGUUCACCUCUGAUGUUUUGGCUGGAGGGUGUCUAGUGCAGAUAAGGAUCUGUGGACAUUUCUUGCUGUUUCAUAAAUAUCAUAACACCAAUACCCAUAUAUGAGAUGAGGUUUUAAAAUAAUAGUUAUACUACAAACAAUAAAUCCUGAAACAGAGUGGUAUCUUUUAUUGAAUUCCUUAAAAACUGUCCAAUAAUGUAAGGCUCCCUCUUGAUGUGUUUAUUUAGGGGAACACAUCACUGUUUAGAGAAUAUACAGAGGCUGAAAUUACCCAGAUCAAUGCUUAUUUUGCAUACUUAUAUGUUAUGUAAUAAGAACAAAGAUAAGUUAGGAAGAAAAUUUAAGAUAGAAUUGAAAUAUACUCUUAAAAAUAUUACUUCAUAAUUAUAAGUAUUUGGUAUCAUUCUAUGCAUGUCUUCAAAUUCACUUUACAAAGUAGUAAAUAGUUAUAUAAACCAUGAUUAUACAUUUAUGGAAUGAAUACCAAAAAAUGAUUUAUUCUAAUAUUAUGGAAUUCCAUGUUUCACCUUGGGAUAAAAUUUUCAGGAAUAGUAUUAUACUCGAAUAGAAAUCAUAUCUGAACAAUACACAAGAAGGAUAAUUUACUUCAGGUAAAUGUAUUACAAUACAUAGUCUAGUGAAAACAAAGAUGGGUAACAUUGAAGGAACAAAUAAAUAAUUAAAAUAAAAUAAAGUACUUUUAUUUUGGCAGGGAAGUAAUAAAUAUAUAAAUGAAUCUAUAUAUAGACACAAAAAUUAUAUAUAAUAUAUACCUACAUAUGUGUGUGUAUGUUUGUGUGUAUUGCUUUUUAGGGCCACACUCAUGACAUAUGGAAGCACAUGGAAGUUCCCAGGGUGGGGGUUGAUUCAGAGGAACAGUUGCUGGCCUUUGCCACAGCAGCGUAAGAUCUGAGCCGUACCUGUGACCUACACUAUAGCUCAUGGCAAUGCCGGAUCCUUAACUCACUGAACGAGACCAGGGAUGGAAUCUGCAUCCUCAUGGAUCCCGUUGGGUUCAUUACUGCUGAGCCAUGACAGGAACUCCUCUGUAUGUAUAUUUAAAAGUUCAACCUUAGGAGUUCCCAUUGUGUCUCAUGGGAUAAAAACCCGACAUGGUGUCUUUGAGGAUUCAGGUUCAAUCCCUGGCUUUGAUUAGUGAGUUAAGGAUCCAGCGUGCCACAGCUUAUGAUAUAGAUUGCAGUAGAUGCUGCUUGGAUCCAACAUUGCUGUGGCUAUGGUAUAGGCCAGCAGCUACAGCUCUGAUUUGACCCCUAGUCCAGAAACUUGCAUAUGCCACAGGUAUGGCCCUGAAAAUACAAAAAAAAAAA